UGCUCUUCCUAUCUGACAAGUCCUGGGACAUUUGUAGAGUCUGGGUAUUUUUCUUUUUACCAGUUUUUUAGUUUGGGCUCUCAGGAUUACGGGCUAUGGCAAAAAAUGUUUGGAUCACUUUUUUUUUUCAAAUGAUGUGCAUUUUAGGGACAUUUUAAAAACCUGU